UACGGAGGAUCCGAGCGUUAUCCGGAUUUAUUGGGUUUAAAGGGAGCGUAGGUGGAUUGUUAAGUCAGUUGUGAAAGUUUGCGGCUCAACCGUAAAAUUGCAGUUGAAACUGGCAGUCUUGAGUACAGUAGAGGUGGGCGGAAUUCGUGGUGUAGCGGUGAAAUGCUUAGGUAUCACGAAGAACUCCGAUUGCGAAGGCAGCUCACUGGACUGCAACUGACACUGAGGCUCGAAAGUGUGGGUAUCAAACAGG
rnacentral:rRNA from 1 species